GAUGAACGCUGGCGGCGUGCCUAAUACAUGCAAGUCGAGCGAAUGGAUUAAGAGCUUGCUCUUAUGAAGUUAGCGGCGGACGGGUGAGUAACACGUGGGUAACCUGCCCAUAAGACUGGGAUAACUCCGGGAAACCGGGGCUAAUACCGGAUAACAUUUUGAACCGCAGGGUUCGAAAUUGAAAGGCGGCUUCGGCUGUCACUUAUGGAUGGACCCGGGUCGCAUUAGCUAGUUGGUGAGGUAACGGCUCACCAAGGCAACGAUGCGUAGCCGACCUGAGAGGGUGAUCGGCCACACUGGGACUGAGACACGGCCCAGACUCCUACGGGAGGCAGCAGUAGGGAAUCUUCCGCAAUGGACGAAAGUCUGACGGAGCAACGCCGCGUGAGUGAUGAAGGCUUUCGGGUCGUAAAACUCUGUUGUUAGGGAAGAACAAGUGCUAGUUGAAUAAGCUGGCGCCUUGACGGUACCUAACCAGAAAGCCACGGCUAACUACGUGCCAGCCGCCGCCGUAA
rnacentral:rRNA from 1 species